UACGUAGGGGGCUAGCGUUGUCCGGAAUCAUUGGGCGUAAAGAGCGUGUAGGCGGCCCGGUAAGUCCGCUGUAAAAGUCAAAGGCUCAACCUUUGAAUGUCAGUGGAUACUGCCGGGCUAGAGUCCGGAAGAGGCGAGUGGAACUCCUGGUGGAGCGGUGAAAUGCGUAGAUAUCAGGAGGAACACCGGUGGCGAAGGCGGCUCUCUGGUCCAUUUCUGACGCUGAGGUGCGAAAGCUAGGGUAGCGAACGGG
rnacentral:rRNA from 1 species